ACACAAGCUAGAAUUACCACAAAGGCGCC
rnacentral:piRNA from 1 species